GUUCUUUACAAGGAGAGUAGUGAGGUGCUGAAACAGGCUGCCCACAGAAGUUGUGGAUGCCCCAUCCCUGGAGGUGUUCAAGGCCAGGUUGGAUGGGGCCCUGGGCAACCUGGUCUAGUAAAUGGGGAGGUUGGUACGGGGGUUGGAGAUCCAUGAUCCUUGAGAUCCCAUCCAACCCAGGCCAUUCUGUGAUUCUGUGAAUAUUUUCACCUAGAAUCUCAAAUGCUUACUGAGAACUUUCUACUUCGUAAAUUAGCAAUUGAGGAUGGGGUGAAAAAAAAUGGAAAUGACUUCUUUCUCUAGAAGAAAAGUGGGAUUUCUUCCUCCAUCCUCAAUUCCCCAGUGAGAUUUGUCUUUGGCUUCCAUGAACAUUUUCUCUGAGUUCAGAGAAAGCCAGUGGUGUAGAAGUCAUUGUAUCUAUUGUUGUGCAUACUCUUUUCUUCCUCUCAAGAAAACUCCUCAAUCAGAGCAGAAAUCCUAAGGCCAGUUUUUGAGUUGCAAGUGAUAAGAAAGAAGAAAACAAAGCAAUGUCUUUCAUACUAAAGGACUUUACCCAUCUUCAUUUAGCAUGCCAGAAAAUGCUGACUGGUUGAGCCGGAACUCCCACUGUAGGUUUUAAUCUCAUUUUCUCUGAAUACCUGUUUAUUUUUCUCAACUGGAAGAAUAAAAUUAACAAAUGUAAAUAUACAUUCCCAUCUCUGAACUGCAGAAUGGAGUUAGCUUGGGGAAGGGUUGGGAACAGACACUAUCAAGUCUUUGUGGAAAAAGAACAGCCAUUCAAAAUUCACAGUUUCAGUUCAUAAGAGAUACGAGUCCAUUCUGUUUCAUUAUAAACUAGAAGAGAUUUUUCACUGGGAUCCCAGAAGAAAACAGAAAACAAGAAGAUGCAGGAGAGAUUCAGAACAACUGCGAUUUCACAUAGUGUAAUUAAUUCUGCAGGCAUGCAGAAGACAAGGAAAUACAGGAAGGAAAAGAUCCACAGGAAAUUUAUUCCACAGAAAUAUACCUUCUCUUUAAUGGAAUCCAUAUUUGACUUUCAAAAUAUUUUUCUGUUUUUGCACUAGGCUUACUUUGCUAAUGAGUUUACCCUGAGAAUUACCCUUCCACUGUAACCGAGAGAGGUCUAUGCACAGAAACCCUCAAGGAUCUCACUUCGCUUUCAUAUCACAAUAGAUAUGGGGAUACGGGGGGCUCUCAUAGGUGGGGCAAGUAAGAUAUAACUCUGAACUUCAGCCUUGAGCAGUGCAGAAGCAGUGUUUUCGUCUACAACUCAGAAAGGAUAUGUGCCACCAGAAAUGUAAAUUUAUAAUUAAAUGCAAGAUUUAAUUUGGUCAACCCAUGGAGUGGAGUUACUAUUCAGAAGGGCUGUUAUUUCAGAGGGUGAUAUAAGAGUUUUGAAUAUUAUUGUCCUCCUCCAUGUUAUGAAAUGCAUGCGUCUCAGCGUGCUGUCUAAGAGCCCUCCCAGCUGUUUCCAAAGAGCAGCUAUUAUCAUCUGCAGGUUAAGAAGACAAAAAAGGCAAAAUAAUAGUUGUGCUAUGCCAGAUGAACUCACAGUCAAUAGUCCACAAAGAAGUAAUUUAUGUAGACAUAUCGACAUUACAAAUUUUCAAUGUCCUCUUCAAAAAGGCACUCGUUCUGUAUUUCCAUCAUUUCUGAAUGACAGAGGUCUCUGAUUCCCAAGAAAAUGCAAAAGGACCUUGAAAUAAAAUGAUGCCAUAAUGACUUACAGUGAUACACUCCUCCCAAGUUUUCAGGACAAUUAUAUGCUUAUUACUUUGGAAGAGUUAGAAAACAAGCA
ensembl:lncRNA